UACGUAGGGGGCAAGCGUUGUCCGGAAUUAUUGGGCGUAAAGGGCUCGUAGGCGGCCAACUAAGUCAGACGUGAAAUCCCUCGGCUUAACCGGGGAACUGCGUCUGAUACUGGAUGGCUUGAGUUUGGGAGAGGGAUGCGGAAUUCCAGGUGUAGCGGUGAAAUGCGUAGAUAUCUGGAGGAACACCGGUGGCGAAGGCGGCAUCCUGGACCAACACUGACGCUGAUGAGCGAAAGCCAGGGGAGCAAACGGG
rnacentral:rRNA from 1 species